AUCGGCAACUAAUCUCAAAGAUCUUGACAUAGCCGUUCUUAAUUAGCAGCAGCAAAUGCAGCACAAACCAAAGCUACGUUUGAAAAAGCUUUAAACGCCACCGACAAGAAUGCUAAUGGCACGACAGCUAUAAAGCAAUGUGUAGAUUCCUAUGAUUUUGCGUUAGGAGCGUUUGUUUUCGCAGUGCGAGGGGUCAAUGACGGUGACAAAUCGGUCACCGAAAUCCUCACACAGGCCCAAGAUGACCUUGUUCGUUGCCAAAGAGCAUUGGCCUCUGUUGAAGUUCCGCUUCCUAUGCCAGUAUCGACGACGAACUUUUGGGUCAUGUUAUAUAGGGAUGUUGCAUUCCUUGUUACUUCCCAGUUAUUCAAUAUCUAGAAAAAGAUAUGAGAAUAGUGUAUUGAAAUUUGAAAAUACACGCCUACCAAAGAAAUGUAUCUGUGAUUACUAUAAAUAAAAAGGAUAGAAAUUUGAAGAAAUGAAAAAAAUUUGAUAUGAAUAACGAAUAUCAAUCGUUUAUUGGCAUUGUUGUGUUCCUCUUUAGUUUGGAUUUCUUAUCAUGCAUUCACUUUACUAUGCAUUGGCUUUAGCGAAGUUGAAAUUAUGGUACAUGUAUUUUCAUUUAAACUUGACAUCCCCGUAUCAGUCCAAAUACAAGUUCUAACUUAUUUCAUGUUGUGCGGAAGCGUCAAAUAUGAAACCAAUAAGCUAAUACGGUAAAAUAUGACAAGACAAAUAAUCCAAAGAACACAAGGAUUUAUACUGGUUCGGCGUAAGCCUACGUCCAGUUCCGAGACGGCGAGGAAAUUCCACUAAUAUCAAAGGAGAUUACAAAUAGAGUUUUAACUCUCAAACCCAAAUCCCACAUACACCCAAUAGCUCUCACUCUCACAAAGAACAAAUGGAGAAGAUGGAAACAUAUACCAAAUUCCUUCUCUCCCAACAGCCACAAAAUGUAGCACAAUUAUCUUUGGUUGAGUGAUCACUAACAAAGGGGAUUACAAACAAAGGGAAGAAUAGAAAACAUCAACCUUUCUCUUACUUCUCUCUAAUCUGCCAUUCACCUUCUCUCGGCUUCUCCUCAAACAUAUAGCAGCUGCUACCUUGAAAAUACCAAAAGAAAAGCUCUUGACUUUUCUUCCCUGAGCCAACAUCCUAACAAAUUUCAUCAUUGCUGCCUUUUCUCUUUUUUGCUUGCUUUCGGCUGCGCUUUCUUUUCUGCUACCUUUCUGCUGCUUUUCUGCAGCUUGUCUUCUGACCAAAAGGCAUGAAUUUCCUUAUAUAAGGCUGGUGCCUUUUUAAUUAAACCCUAGCUGCCAUGUGGCUUUCAAAUGGGUAACAAAAGGCCAAACCUAUUUAGGCUUGAGACAAAAAAUUAAAGGCCCAAGAAGUAUUGAGCCACAAAAUCCAACAAUCUCCACCUUGGCGAAAUUCCCGAAAGCAACUCAGAGUUGACUCAACAAUCAUCAUAAGCACCCAAAAUACGAACUACACAGACAACGGAAGCUAAAUCAAAUUCACCAAACUUUCCGGUACUCAUAACAAUUUCCACCUCGACUCAAACUGUACCAAAGCCAACGAAAGUGAACAUUUCUCUACCGUCUUCUCCAAAUUUGCAAACCAUAAGUGCCUUGAUCAAAACAAAAGUGAUUCAAACGAAGAACUGAAAUUCUUCAAUAUCACCAACAAAAGAUCAAGCACAUCAUACCAAAGUUGGACACACAACGAACUCCACCUGCUCACAAACACCAUGGUCUUAAACUGCACCAAUAGACUCAUUCACAUAGCAUGGCACAUUCUCCAAGUCAAAACUGAUUACAAAUUUGGCAACAAAGUCUCACAUACCACAUACGAAAAUAUGCCCUUCACUCAAGUUUACCAUCAUCACAUGAGCACCAACAGGACAACCAAAAUUUCAAAUUCAAAUAAUCAGCAGGAGAUCCAAAACCAUACCUCAACUGGAGUCUUCAAGAAAACUAAUUGCAGAUGAUGGAGAUCAACAGACCAAAUAGCAGAGGCAAACAAAUCCAACCAAAUGUCCAUAGCCCAAACAAAGUUAGAAAGCAUAUAACUUGCCUUCUACACGAGGGUUCCACACAAAUGUUCUGCAGUGCAUGUGGUGUAUCCAAAAUAGUGUGGUGCCUCACUAUCCAAACUUGCAGAACUCAACAAAUUGGCCCUCACUGAAUUCAACUUUACCAAAAAAAGCAAAACCAUACCAAUAUCUAAAACAAUAAAAACAUCGAUGAAGAGCAACUGACAUAACACAAACAUACAUAGAGGCUACUAAGCAACUUUCUCAAAUCAUAACAAAGAAUCCUUACAAACUCUUAAAUCUCCAUAUGUAGUAGAGAGAUUUAAGAGUACCCACAACACCAGAUUCUUUUUUUUUUUUUUUUUUAAUUUCAAAUCUGGUGUAGCCAACUGUCAUCAUAGAACAAAGUCGAAGUCGUCAUUGACGACAUUCGCACUCGCACCAGCAUUAUCUUUCAGUUUUGGGCAAUCAACUUUCCAAUGCCCUUCCUUGCGACAAUAGCUGCAUGUGUUGUUUCUGGUCUUAGACUUCGAUCUCAAAUUUCCUUUAUUACUCCCUGAACCAUAUUCCCUAUCUCUGCCUCUUGCUAUCAAAGCCUCAGAAUGAGAAUCAUUCAAAUUUCCAAAUACUUUGUUCUUUAACUCUCUUGAAUUCAAAGCGGCUUUUACAUUCUCCAUACAAAUAGAAUCUCUCCCAUAUAACAAAGUUUCAACAAAAUUCGCAUACGAAGGAGGUAAAGAACACAACAAAAUCAAAGAUUGAUCCUCAUCAUUAAUUUUAUUAUCCAUACUUUUCAAAUCCAUAAUAACCUUAUUAAACUCAUCAAGAUGGUUUUGAAUAGGUGUACCUUCAGUCAUACGGAGAGUGUACAAACAUUGCUUCAAAUACAAACGAUUGGUGAGGGAUUUGGUCAUGUAUAUACUCUCCAACUUAAGCCACAAACCAGCUGCAGUAGUUUCAUUUUCCAUCUCACGAAGAACUUCAUCAGAUAGUGAUAACAUAAUUGCACUAGUGCUCGAUUCAAAGCGUCUUCUUUUUCUUCAGCAGACCAAUCUUGUGGCAAGGCUUCCACACCCUGUAGCGCCUUAAGCAAUCCUUGUUGAACUAGCACAGCUCGCAUCUUAACCCGCCACAGGCUAAAAUCAUUCCUCCCAUUGAAUUUUUCAAUAUCAUAUUUCACCGACAUAUUCGAAGGUUUCAUAGACAUAUUAGUACAAAGCCCCAAGUCGAAACCCGGAGCUCUGAUACCACUUGUUGUGCGGAAGCGUCAAAUAUGAAACCAAUAAGCUAAUACGGUAAAAUAUGACAAGACAAAUAAUCCAAAGAACACAAGGAUUUAUACUGGUUCGGCGUAAGCCUACGUCCAGUUCCGAGACGGCGAGGAAAUUCCACUAAUAUCAAAGGAGAUUACAAAUAGAGUUUUAACAAUCAAACCCAAAUCCCACAUACACCCAAUAGCUCUCACUCUCACAAAGAACAAAUGGAGAAGAUGGAAACAUAUACCAAAUUCCUUCUCUCCCAACAGCCACAAAAUGUAGCACAAUUAUCUUUGGUUGAGUGAUCACUAACAAAGGGGAUUACAAACAAAGGGAAGAAUAGAAAACAUCAACCUUUCUCUUACUUCUCUCUAAUCUGCCAUUCACCUUCUCUCGGCUUCUCCUCAAACAUAUAGCAGCUGCUACCUUGAAAAUACCAAAAGAAAAGCUCUUGACUUUUCUUCCCUGAGCCAACAUCCUAACAAAUUUCAUCAUUGCUGCCUUUUCUCUUUUUUGCUUGCUUUCGGCUGCGCUUUCUUUUCUGCUACCUUUCUGCUGCUUUUCUGCAGCUUGUCUUCUGACCAAAAGGCAUGAAUUUCCUUAUAUCAGGCUGGUGCCUUUUAAUUAAACCCUAGCUGCCAUGUGGCUUUCAAAUGGGUAACAAAAGGCCAAACCUAUUUAGGCUUGAGACAAAAAAUUAAAGGCCCAAGAAGUAUUGAGCCACAAAAUCCAACAUUUCAUUCACCAUUCGAUUCAUGCAACUUGUGUUUCUUUAUUCAAUAGGUGGGGAGAUUUGAACUUGAAAUUUUUUUAAGAAUUUGGAAGACAACAAUUAAUGCGCAUCCAAUUUUUUCUUCUUUGCACCCAUGUCUGUCUUAUAGCCCACAUUGUUUUAUGACCUUUCCUUUGACAAUCCAAAAUUAUUCAAUAGUCUUCUAACACUUUGACUAAUGACAUUCUUUUCAAGAAUGCAAAAUCCUCGAUCAUGGUCGGCAUAUGAUUACGAAGAGCUUGCUCGAGUCGCUCUUGAGUUAGCAGCAACGAAUACAAAAGAUAGGCACAGCUUUAUAAACAUUUAAUCAAGAGGGAUUCGAGGGAGCCUAUUUAACAAUAUUAGUUUUGGUAUCGCGCGGUGGUGCUUUUAUUCUAGUGGCAUACAUGAGGACAAGGAUAGGCCUGGGCCUCUCCAUCAUUUUCUUUAUUUUGUAUGUUUUAGCUUGAGUUCGUUAUUCUUUAAUUUCUGUUUGUGUGCUUUCCAUUGAGCACGAUGUAGUUAAAUCACCAGUUUGCAUGCAUAGUGUUGUUUAAGUUUAUAUUGAAAAAAAAGAAUCGCAUUUGCAUUUUUGAACCACGGUCUAUAAUGCUUGUUCAACUUCGAUGUAGUAAUCGUUUCUUUUUAGCACAACUUUUGAACAAGUUUAGUGCUUAUGGUAUUAUUGUGUCAGUGUUAAAUUAUUAUUUUCAUGACUCCGUUGCUCUCCAUUGAUUCAAAUUUUCUUUCCUACACAAAAGUUAACCCUCAAAUCUUCUCUCAUUGAUCGUAUUAUUUUUAAUAUAAUUUAUGUCACAUGGUCUGGAGGAUCCUCCUAACUUCGAUUUUUGGCUCCGCCACUGCUUCAUUAAACAGCUAAAUAUGAAGACAAACUACGAGCAUCCUGUGACGGCCAAAUUUAAAGUCAAAAUUGCGUGCGACGAUGAAAGUAACGGUUAAACUGCAUUGAUAUCUAGAGAGGUUAAAUUACAAGAUAUAUGUACCAAAAACCACAAUGUCCAAUUGUAUCGUUAGGAUUGGAAUUCUAGAAACCAUGAAGUCCAGCUUUUGUUGUGUUUUAGUUCAAACAAAAAUCACUGGAAGAAUGGGUUAAAGCAAGCCAUUUCCAUCCAAUGGUUUAUUACGUAACAGAAAAACAAAAACAAAAGGUACAGAAGACAGGGCUCCUAAAUUUAGACCUAUACCCUUCUUGGGUUGCUUAUAUAUAUCAUACUCCAUGCAUUCAUUUCUUAACCCCGAGCAAAUAAUUUGUAAUCACGUUAGCUUCAAUUUAAAAACAUACAUCCUGAGCGAUGGCCACCUCAAUCAGUUAUGCAGUGUUCAUUGCUUCCAUGCUCUUAUGUCUCACGUCGUCUCCAGCACCAUUUGCAAAUGCAAGAGCGUCUCAGUUAGUUAGGAUUGUUUGCAAGCAAACCCAAGAACAAUUCGGCUACAACUAUAGGCAGUGCGUAAAAUCUCUUUGGAAAGAUAUUCCAAUUAGAUCGGCAACUAAUCUCAAAGAUCUUGAUAUAGCCGUUCUUAAAUUAGCAGCAGCAAAUGCAGCACAAACCAAAGCUACGUUUGAAAAAGCUUUAAAAGCCACCGACAAGAAUGCUAAUGGCACGACAGCUAUAAAGCAGUGUGUAGAUUCCUAUGAUUUUGCGUUAGGAGCGUUCGUAUUCGCAGUGCGAGGGGUCAAUGAUGGUGACAAAUCGGUCACCGAAAUCCUCACACAGGCCCAAGAUGACCUUGUUCGUUGCCAAAGAGCAUUGGCCUCUGUUGAAGUUCCGCUUCCUAUGCCAGUAUCAACGACCAACUUUUGGGUCAUGUUAUAUAGGGAUGUUGCAUUCCUUGUUUCUUCCCAGUUAUUCAAUAUCUAGAAAAAGAUAUGAGAAUAGUGUAUUGAAAUUUGAAAAUACACGCG
rnacentral:lncRNA from 1 species